UGGGGAAUUUUGGACAAUGGGGGCAACCCUGAUUCAGCAAUGCCGCGUGAGUGAAGAAGGCCUUCGGGUUGUAAAGCUCUUUUGUCAGGGAAGAAACGGUGUUUCCUAAUACGGAAUGCUAAUGACGGUACCUGAAGAAUAAGCACCGGCUAACUACGUGC
rnacentral:rRNA from 1 species